rnacentral:sRNA from 1 species
GGGCUGUAAGACAGAUGAAAGUGUGUAUUGCAGAAGUGAGGGCUAAAUGCACUCAGGAAGACAUUAAGGCACAGAUAGACAUGCAAAUCCAAGGCCUUGAACAAAUGCUGCCACAAUGUCCCAACACUACGUCAGAACCAAAGAAGAAAAAGAAGGUUAAAAUACCAAAA